GACGAACGCUGGCGGCGUGCUUAACACAUGCAAGUCGAACGGAAAGGCCCUGCUUUUGUGGGGUGCUCGAGUUGCGAACGGGUGAGUAACGCGUGAGUAACCUGCCCUUGACUUUGGGAUAACUUCAGGAAACUGGGGCUAAUACCGGAUAAGAGCUCCUGCUGCAUGGUGGGGGUUGGAAAGGUUCGGCGGUUGGGGGUGGAGUCGCGGCUUAUCAGCUUGUUGGUGGGGUAGUGGCGUACCAAGGCUUUGACGGGUAGCCGGACUGAGAGGGUGACCGGCCACAGUGGGACUGAGAUACGGCCAAGACUGCAACGGGAGGCAGCAGUGGGGAAUAGUGCACAAUGGGCGGAAGCCUGAUGCAGCAACGCCGCGUGCGGGAUGACGGCCUUCGGGUUGUAAACCGCUUUCGCCUGUGACGAAGCGUGAGUGACGGUAAUGGGUAAAGAAGCACCGGCUAACUACGUG
rnacentral:rRNA from 1 species